GCAAGUCACAUGCCCUUCUCUGCAAGUGAGUCUAAUUUCCCUCUCACAAGGACACCUGUCCUUGCAGCGAGGGCCCACCCAUCCAAGACCCAAGGCCUCCUCUGAACUUGAUUGCAUCUGCCAAGACCCUAUUCCCACAAGACCACGGUCACAAUGUCCCAUCCGCAUGGAUUUGGGGACACAGAACACACCUCAGAAGAGGUAUCACACGGCACACGGAGCCCCGGGGUGGAGUGGAAACACCAGUCUCAGAACAGCAAGCUGGGCAGAAAUUUCCCAUAAAUACUGGUAAAUGCAGGCCCAGGCACAAGGACACAUUUCCCUGUGGGUGUGUUCUCUCCCCCGUCAGUGCACUCACAUGUGACAAGAUGCACGCCUGCGACAAGCACGGCCCCUUCUGAGCAGGGCAUGCAGAGGCCUCUGCACCAGGACCUGCAGGGCCCUCCUGUCAGAAGUGAGAGCGCAUCUCUGCACUCACCUACUCAAUGCAGCUUUCUGACAGUGGACACAUUGCAGCCUCCCGCCACCAGGGGGCGGACCGCCGCCCCUCGCAGUGCUCUGCCCUCUCCGCACCGCCCGGAAGUCCCGCCUCUGCCGGAAGUCAGCAAGGUUUGUCCAGUAGACAGCAGAGUCCAGGGAUGCAGGACUAUCUGGCCUGAGUGGCUACUGGCAGCGCGGGGCCGGGCAGCCUCAGGGGACCUGGGCCUGGAGCGGCUGACCCUGCGGGGAGGAGCCCGGCAGGCGGCCUCGGAGGGCAGCCCCGCGGGGGACGUGCUCCUGCGGGGAGUCGGUCAGCUUCUGCGGGGAAGAUGGGACGUGGGGGCCACGGGGCGCGGGGCGCGGGCUGGGGGCCGGCCCCGCUCAGGCUCCCGGUCCUCCGGGCGUCGGCCUCCCCGCGCUGCCUGCACCAGCGGCUCCGGGCGGCGCCUUCCGAAUCAGGGUUUGUUUCUGAGAAAGACGCCCCCUCCCAGGCCGCCCUCCCGCCCGCCCUGCAGAGGGCGCGGGAGCCCGCGUUGCCUCUGCCCUGUGUGGCCCCCGCUUGGGGCGCUGCCCCAGGACUUCCCGGGCCCAAGUCCUCCGGUGUCGGUCCGGGACCCUCCUCUGCCACAGGGUCCAGCUCAGACAGAAUGUCCCCGACCCCCGGCAGCAGGUCAGGCGUCCGCUGGACGGGGCACCGGAGGUCGUUGUCCGCUUCCCCUGUCAGCCUUUCCCGCGACGGGAAGGACGCGCUGCGGGGCCUCAUCACGGUGCCUCGGGCUCAGAGCGAGGAGCUCUCCGCACGCGCGUCCAUGAGGCUCCAGGUCUGCGGUGACAGCAGCGUCCGCGUGGGGCCCAGAGUGGGUCAGGCCCCUGGGGUGCGCCCCGGAGCUGCUCUCGAGUCAUUUAUCCAUCAGGCACCAGGUCUCUGCAGAUCUGCCUGCAAGUCCCAUCGGAACCAAUGUGCGAGCUUAACAACUUCAGCACCAUGAACGGCAUUGCUCGUUUUAAAUGCUCCACUAAUGAUAGUUUAUAUUGAAGACAUCAAAUACGUCCAGAAUUUCAGUAAAGAAUUUAAUAAGAGAACGGUAUUGUUGGUUUUAGCCCAAUAUUAAACAUGAGUGGACCAAAGAAAAGGAAAGUGGACAGUGAAUGCCGAGUGUUUAAGAGGGAGUGGACAACAAAAUAUUUUUUCACUGAAGUCUGAUCAAUGCCGGUAUGUCUGAUAUGCCAGGAAACACUUGCAGUCUUCAAAGAGUACAAUCUCAGCCAUCACUUUGCCACAAAGCAUGGCAACUAUGCUAGCAAGCAGUCACCUCAAGAACGGUAGGCUACUGCACAGAGGUUGAUGGCUAAAUUACAGGCUCAGCAAAAUGUCUUUCACAGACAAACUGCAAUUCAAGAGACAACUACCAAAGCAAGUUUUAUGCUAUCAUUCAAAUUAGCAAAAGCUAGCAAACCUCUCUCUGAAGGCGAGUUUUUGAAAGAAUGUAUGAUAGAGACAGCAGGUCUCUUGUGUCCAGAGAGCAAAGGCAAGUUUGAAAAACUCAGCUAAUCGCGCAGGACAGUGACUCGUCGAGUGGAACUGAUUGAUGAAGACUUGGCCAGCAAGUUAAAUAGUAAGGCAGAGUUCUUUAAGUUUUAUUCACUAGCAUUGGAUGAAAGUAAUGACGUAAAGGACACUGCUCAGCUCUUAAUUUUUAUCCGAGGGAUUAGUGACAAUUUUGAAAUUACAGAGGAGUUUUUAGCCAUGGAGCCACUGAAAGGAAAAACACGGGGAGGACUUGUAUGACCGGGUGUCUACUGUCAUCGAGAAAAUGAAGCUACCAUGGAGUAAACUUGCUAAUGUCACGACAGAUGGAUCUCCAAAUUUAACUGGAAAAAAUGUUGGACUGCUAAAAAGAAUUCAGGAUAAAGUGAAAGAGGAGAACCCUAACCAAGAUGUUAUUUUUCUUCACUAUAUUAUUCACUAGGAAUCAUUGUGCAAGUCUAUAUUACAACUUAAUCAUGUUGUUAAUCCAGUCGUAAAGCUUGUUAAUUUCAUUCGAGCAAAGGGACUUCAGCACUGUCAGUUUAUUAAGUUUCUGGAGGAAACUGAUGCGGAUCACCAUGACUUACUUUACCACUCUCGUGUCCGC